rnacentral:rRNA from 1 species
GGCGAACGCUGGCGGCGUGCUUAACACAUGCAAGUCGAACGGAAAGGCCCUGCUUUUGUGGGGUGCUCGAGUGGCGAACGGGUGAGUAACACGUGAGUAACCUGCCCUUGACUUUGGGAUAACUUCAGGAAACUGGGGCUAAUACCGGAUAGGAUCUCCUGCUGCAUGGUGGGGGUUGGAAAGUUUCGGCGGGUGGGGAUGGACUCGCGGCUUAUCAGCUUGUUGGUGGGGGAGUGGCUUACCAAGGCUUUGACGGGUAGCCGGCCUGGGAGGGGGGACGGGCCCAAUGGGAAUGAGGUAAGGACCAGAAGGCCAAGGGGGGGAAAAGGGGGGAAAAAUGGAAAAAGGGCCGGAGCCGGAAGAAACAAACGCGGGGGGGGGAAGAAGGGCUUUGGGGUUGAAAAAGCAGUAGGCUGAGAAGAAGCGGUAGUGAAGGGAAAGGGUAAAGAAGCACCGGCUAACUACGUG